rnacentral:antisense_RNA from 2 species
UGUGGGAGCGGGCUUGCUCGCGAAUGCGGUGGAUCAGCCAGCUUCAAUGUUGAAUGGCACACCGCAUUCGCGAGCAAGCCCGCUCCCACA